AUUUUCAGCUGAAUGUACAUGUGUUGCAGGGGAUGGAUCAUGUAAGCAUGUUGUUGCCCUACUGUUUGGCAUAAUAGAUCACAUCACUUCAAUGGAAGAUCGAAGUUCAAUUGGAGUUACUGAUACUGCAGCAUAUUGGGAUAAACCACGGAAAGUAUGCAGGCCAGUGCCUGUUCAUGACUUAGAUAUCAGGACUGUCGUGAAUGUACCAGAUAAACCACGACCAUCUGAAGAUUCUGGUUAUUUGCCACUUAAGUCUUCA